AGUGAACGCUGGCGGUAGGCCUAACACAUGCAAGUCGAACGGCAGCACAGUAAGAGCUUGCUCUUACGGGUGGCGAGUGGAGGACGGGUGAGGAAUACAUCGGAAUCUACUUUUUCGUGGGGGAUAACGUAGGGAAACUUACGCUAAUACCUCAUACGACCUACGGGUGAAAGCAGGGGAUCUUCGGACCUUGCGCGAUUGAAUGAGCCGAUGUCGGAUUAGCUAGUUGGCGGGGUAAAGGCCCACCAAGGCGACGAUCCGUAGCUGGUCUGAGAGGAUGAUCAGCCACACUGGAACUGAGACACGGUCCAGACUCCUACGGGAGGCAGCAGUGGGGAAUAUUGGACAAUGGGCGCAAGCCUGAUCCAGCCAUACCGCGUGGGUGAAGAAGGCCUUCGGGUUGUAAAGCCCUUUUGUUGGGAAAGAAAAGCAGCAGGUUAAUACCCCGCUGUUCUGACGGUACCCAAAGAAUAAGCACCGGCUAACUUCGUG
rnacentral:rRNA from 1 species